rnacentral:lncRNA from 13 species
AAUAUACCCAGACACAAACACACCCUACAUGUACAACUGAGUAUUCACUGGAAGUACUGUAAUAUACCCAGACAAACACACCCUACAUGUACAACUGAGUAUUCACUGGAAGUACUGUAAUAUACCCAGACAAACA